UACGUAGGGGGCAAGCGUUGUCCGGAUUUAUUGGGCGUAAAGAGCUCGUAGGCGGCUUGGCAAGUCGGGUGUGAAAACUCCAGGCUCAACCUGGAGAUGCCACUCGAGACUGCUAUGGCUAGAGUCCGGUAGGGGACACGAAUUCCUGGUGUAGCGGUGAAAUGCGCAGAUAUCAGGAGGAACACCGGUGGCGAAGGCGGGUCUCUGGGCCGAUGACUGACGCUGAGGAGCGAAAGCGUGGGGAGCGAACAGG
rnacentral:rRNA from 1 species